GCUUUGGCAAAUGGAACAAGAAUGGAUGGAAUGUUUGUCAUGACUGAACAGAUUAUUUCAGAAGCAUUGCAAGUUUCCACUGGCCCUUUUGCUGUCCCAGAGAUCAGCUUCAACUUGGUUUUCAGAAUGAGAAGACAUGUAGAGCCCAGCACAGGCCAGCAGAGCUGCAGCUGACCCUCAGACCUAAGGAGCAAAAUGGAGGCGAGCGACUACGCAUGGUGAACAGUGGUACAGCUGUCGGUCUCCGCUGGGCAAGGAGAAGAAGUCUGAAAGAGCUCACUCCUAUGCAUGACUUUAUCAGGGGAACUUCCAAAAGACUUACAAGGAUCUAUCUCCUGCCUCACAGGUACCACCUGCAAUUGCUGGUCCAGGGUGCCCAUGCUAAUGAGGAUGAGUGACAGCCAGAUGGAAUCAUCACAGGAUGUAGUACACAAAGAUACUACAAGAGAAAAGAUGCAAGGAAACAGAGGUUGGGAGUGGGGAUGGUGACAAAUUAAAAAGCAUGACCAGAAACAUGACACCACAGACCAGGCAAAGAUUGGCAUCAAGUACAUCACUAUGAAUUCAUAAAAGGAAAUGAAGCUAUUGAUUUAUGAGACAAGAGUUUAAAAUUGGGUUAUAAGUGCCAAGAGAAGAUAAAAUGAUAUAAUCAGAGAUGAAACAAACCCUCAGAAAUAUGAAGGUAACUUUGGAAGCAGCAAAAGGAGAAUAGACAGUGCUGAGAACAGUAAGGAAUGUGGACGACAAGAGUGAGAAAUGAGAAAGUGAAAUGGAAAUAAAUAAGAGCUGGGAAAGAUUAGAGAUAAAUGAUAAAUAUGGAAGACAUAUUGAUAAGAUUCAGAGUUAAUAGGAGACUUGAAUCUAAAUUUUAAACCGCACAUCUUAUUCUAGGAAAAAAACUCACAUUAAAUUAUCAACACUGAGACAUACCCUAGUAAAGCUACCAAGUAUCAAAGAUAAAAAAAAUUUUUCUUUUUUUUUUUUUGAGGAAGAUUAGCCCUGAGCUAACUGCUGCAAUCCUCCUCUUUCUGCUGUGGAAGACUGGCCGUGAGCCUACAUCUGUGUCCAUCUUCCUCUACUUUAUUUGUGGGACACCUGCCACAGCAUGGCCUGUCAAGCGGUGCCACGUCUGCAACCGGGGUCGAACCGGUGAACCCCGGGCUGCCGAAGCAGAACGUCUGCACUUAACCGCUGCACCACCAGGCUGGCCCCGCCUUCUUUUUUUUUGAAGUACAGUUCACAUACAAUAUUAGUUUCGGGUGUACGACAUAGUGAUUCGACAUUUAUAUACAUUGUGAAAUGAUCACCAUGACCAUCUGUCACCAUACAACAUUAUUACGAUAUCAUUGACUAUAUUCCCCAUGCUGUACAUUACAUCCCCAUGACUUAUUUAUUUUAUAACUGGAAGUUUGUAUCUCUUAAUCCCUUUCACUUAUUUUGCCCAUCCCCCUACCCCCUUCUCUCUGACAACCACCAGUUUGUUUCCUGUAUCUAUGAAUUUGCUUCUGUUUUGUAUUGUUUGUUCAUUUGUUUUGUUUUUUAGAUUUCACAUAUAAAUGAAAUCAUAUGGUAUUUGUCUUUCUCUGUCUAACUUAUUUCACUUAGCAUAACACCCUCUAGGUCCAUCCAUAUUGUCACAAAUGGAAUGAUUUGAUUCUUUUUAAGGCUGAAUAACAUUCAAUCAUAUAUAUAUAUAUAUAUAUACCACAUCUUCUUUAUCCACCCAUCCAUUGAUGGAUGCUUAGGUUGUUUCCAUAUGUUGGCUGUUGUAUAUAAUGCUACAAUGAACAUAGGAGUAUAUACCUUUUUGAAUUAAUGUUUUCAUUUUCUUCAGAUAAAUGCCCAGAAGUGGAAUUGCUGGAUCAUAUGGUAAUUCUAUUUUUAAUUUUUUGAAGAACACUCCCACUCUUUUCCAUAGUGGCUGCAGCAGUUUACAUUCCCACCAACAGUGCAUGAGUGUUCCCUUUUCUCGACAUCCUCGCCAACACUUGUUAUUUCUUGUCUCUUUGGUAAAAGCCCUUCUGACAGGAGUGAGGUGAUACUUCACUGUGGAUUUCCUAACAAUAGAAACAUUAUACUCCUAACAAAAUUCAGAGGAAAGGGAGGCGAUAAAGAGGAAGGUAGUGUAGGUCGAGAGAGUUCCUUAUCUUCCAUAGCCAGGCAUCAAAGCUGAUAAACCGGCUUAUGUAAAUUUAUGUAAAUAUAUAAAUAUUAACAUUGACAAAAAUAAUACAAAUCAAUCCAAAUCAGCUAGUAGAGGAAAUAUUGGGGAGAGGAAGCGGGAAUUACCAAUUUCAACAUUAAUACAGUAAGGAGUCAAAGAAUGCUGAUCAAAGAAAUAGAGAUCUUAAAAAUGUAUUCUAUAUUCUUAUAAAAACAAACUACUAGAGAAACAAUUAAAAUCUCUCAUAUUAUUAGGAAAAAGAAAACACAGACCACAUAGUGAAAGAUAGAAAUUAAAGCAUCAAUAAAAACCAGAAAUAUAUCAUUAAUUACAACAAAAAUAAGAUCUGUCAUAUCCACUUCAAAAAAUUUACCCUACAAAUAUAUUCACAUAUAUGUGAAUGAUGUAUGUCCAAAGAUGUCUACUGCAGAGUUGUUUCUAAUAUCAGAAGACUGGGAACAAUUUAAAAGUCUAUUAAUAGCAAUUGAUUGAAUAAAUUAUAACACAUCCGUAAAAUGGAAUACUAUGAGCAGUCAAAAAGAUAGAGGCGGCUUCAAAAUCAUAUCAUUAGGUUUAAAAAUAAGGUAAAGAGUACACAACCAUUUGUAUGAAAGACCACAUGCACAUAGAACACAUGAAUCAGUGUAUGUGUGGAUGCAGGCAUAGACUGUCUCUGGAAGGACAGAGACAUGGGUAAAAACAGACGUCACCAGACAGGGAAAUUGGGUCUGUGGGGGAUGAAGGCAAGAAGAGUCAUUUUUCCCCAUAGACCCCUCUAUAACUCCUGAAUUGUGCAUGUAUAUAUAUUCUUUCUAGUCAAAACCAUAUAAAUUAAUUUAUAAAAGGCAAAAACAACUUUACCAGUUGGUUGAUGCUGUUGUGCAAGUGCCAGUUUAUCGUGGGUUGGGGACGAGAGGUGGUUUGACUCAGAAUAAUUCCCCGCCUAGAACGUCUCUGAGUAUCUACUUCGCUUGUGUGUCCCAUUAAGAGACAAGGUUUCAAUUUGCCUUGGAGCCACUUAGAGCUUGACUUCGACGGGACUUGAGCACAAUCAUCAUCUGAACUAGACAGAAAAGUACUGCUUCAAGAGAAGGGUAGAGACUGCCCGCCAUUUGUGGCAGGGCAAUGAGACACAGGCAACUGAGUGCAAUCAGAUGGAAGUUACAGUUACAAUGGUACGGAGGUAUGGGUGUCCACGGGCAUGCCAGGACAGCCUGCAAGGACAUCACCAAGUGCUCUUCAGUUUUUAACUUUCUCACUGAAUGUCCACUCCCAUUACGAGCACCCUCCCGCAUACGUCAUUUGAAGUGAGAAAACAGUUCGUGCUUUGCCUGCACUUUGUGGAGUUUCUCAGCUUUCUACGAAUAGAUUACAAUCUCUAGACCCAGGUCUGGGGACAGUUUACACAAGACUAGUCACACAGCAUGAUCUUCCACAAUUUGCUAUUUCAUGAGAAAAAGAAUCACAACGCCUGGGGAGAAAAAAGAAUUAUAAGGGCAGCCUCUCUCUUGAGAGUUGAAUUUGAUCCUGGAAGGGCAGCAAUUCAAUCUUUUAAAAGGCACAUCUCUGUUCUAAUCAAUCAAGCUUUCAUUUCCAAUGGCAAUAACCUUCCCGAGGCACUCAGGAAAUCAGAAACUAGAGCCUUGUCCCUGAAGAGACAAUAUGGUAUUUUCUACCAGGUUGAUUUGGGCUUACAAACCUAUCCAAGAUUUUGUCAGCAGGAAAUCUGAUGGUCCAAUAUAUCAUGAGAUGCCAACACCAUCUAUUAGCACAAAUCUGUCACAACAAAUGGAAAGAUGUAGUUUGCACCUGGGACUUAAGGAAUAGAGUUUCUGAAAAAUUUGAGAAGAAUCAGAGAUAAGCAAUAGCCUCCAGUAUGUUUUCCAACCUCUCACUGUGGGUUAUAUGGUUUUGUGACAGUUGUGUCCAAGGUUGACUAGAUAUUCUCGGCCACGGUGGUUCUGACCCUAGUUACUUAUGAUAGCAAGUAGCUUUGCAGACGUCGUUGGCCAAUAAAAGGCUCAGAAACCAUGGACAUGAUUCUAGUCCUCUGUUUUUUCCAUUAGCUAAGCUUUGUGUAAAGUGACAGGAAGAUUCAUAAAAUCUGGGUGACUCAAAUUUCAACAAAGCAAAAUUUCAAUUGAAUUCAAUGAAUUUCAAUGAAAUCAAUUUUCCAAAAGACUAGAAAAAUAAUACGUUAUGCAAAUACAUUCCAAGGGAUGAAUAGUCAAUAUUAUAUCAUGAUGGAGCUUGUAUCCUAACACACUGGUGUAUGGAUAGUUAACGGAUACGAAGUCACAAGGCCUGGCUUCAAGGCGCAGCACCCCCCACCCCACCACCUCAGUAAGAGGCGUGUGAGGGUUGGAAGCCAUUUGACUUUCUAAGCCUGCAAAACAGGGAUCAGCAAAGCUGGUCUGCCCUGCCUUGGGUGGGCUGGGAGGAGGGAAGGAAGUGGAGUUUGUGAUCAUGUUUUGCAUGUUACAAGUGAUGUUAUUACUAUUCGGGCAGUUCUCAACGGUAACAAUUCUGGGCUCUUCAUGAGUACUCUGCUUCUGGUAUGUUAUACGACAAGUUCCUAGUCGGAUCUAAAUCUUUAAAAAAACCCGCUUUAUUGGUAUGAUUGACAUACAAAAAGCUGUACAUAUUUAACGUACUGAACUUGAUGAGUUCAGAGAUAAGUAUACACCCAUGAAACCAUCGCCACGAUCUAGGCCAUAAACAUAUCUAUCCCCUCCAAAACUUUCCCGCUGCCCUCAUUAUUUAUUUAUUUGUGUGAUAAGAACACUUAGCAAAUUUUUAAGUACACAAUACAGUAUUGCUAACUGUGGGGCCUGUGCUGUUCAGUAGAACCCUAGGACUCGUUCAUCUCGUGUAACUGAAACUUCUUGAUCUAAUUCUUAAUUUAAAAUUUCCUGCCACUAUUAUCAUAAAACUUUUUAUGGCUUAAACAUUAACAGUGUUUUCAUAAAAUAAAGGUAAUAAUAUUGUAUUUCAUGACACUUUUAGAUUAGUACUGAUCAUUUCAUCAGACAUGCAAUUAUAAAAGUCACUUGUUACAACUACGCCUCUCUCUACUGCUUUUUUCCGAUUAAUAUACAUAAUUAUUCUAAAUCAGUAGAAUUGCUUAACACUCCUGUUAGCAUUUAUUUUCCAGAUAUGUAAUAGGACAAAUUUCAGCAGGGCCAUCCCUCUGAACUGCUUGACUGCAUGUGGAUAUAUUUCCAUUUUGCUACCAAGUCCUCAGACCAAGCAAACCAAAGCCUCAGGGCCUGAGCCAGGCCUGGGGGAGCCAGCGCAUCAGUGCAGGGACGCCACAGGACGAGUCUGCAAAUGAAUGAAGCAAAAAUCACCCUACUGCUGUGCUGGCAGUCACCCAAGACGCAUGCAGUAUGGAAAAAGAAUCCAUCCUGUGGCCAGAGCUGGAACUACCUGGAAAUCCUCCCUGCGUCCCUAAUGACUCGGGUUAAGACAGCCAGGUAGUAGUUGUUUUUAACUGCUCAGCACUCGAUGUGAGCCUUGGCACCCUAGGACACCUUUUAGCAGGUGAGAAAAGGCAGGGGACAGAUCCACAGUCAUUUAAAGGUUUCAACAAGUCAUUUAGCCAGAGUACUCAGAGUACUGUACUGAAGAAUGUCACAUCUGCCAGAGCACCAGUUUGUGGUUUUCAAACGGGACAAAUGGGUGUGGGCUGAAAGUGUGGCAUAACCACCCAGAAAGAACUGAAAUUGCCAAGCAGGAGGCAUAACCACACGCCCUGAUUAUAAUCUGUUGUCUGGCUGCUUCCUACAAUAUGAGUUCAUGUCAUUUACCCAUAAGAAAAUAAAGUUAUCCGUCCAAAAAUAAAGAAGGGCUUAAUGCAUUGCUUCAUUUAUCACUACCAGUCCGAUGGCUGCCUGAAAGGAGCUUUAGACAAGGAAGAGACCCCAGGGCCCCUGUCCUGCACGGUCACUGAUGAGAGCAAGUCUUUCCAAUGCUCUGGGCCUCGACAUCCUCAUUCAAAAAAUGGAAAUAACAACACCAGCUCCAUAUUCCUUGCAGAAUUGUGCUGAGGACGAAAACAACCAACCAAAAAGCACCCAUGAGCUCCUCGUGCUCCCAGGCGUAGACCCUGAAUGGGGCUUGCAAAGAGGUGAGAUAUAGUACCUGGCCUGGAGUAUUUCACAAAAGGUUUUGGAGGAGAUAGGACUAAAACCUGUGAAAUAAUAGUAAACCCUUGGGCAGUAUUUGCACAAGUACUCAGUUACAGGAUAUAACCUAUCAGACUUCACAAGCAAGGGAGGGUGUCCAUGGAGAGGCAAGAGCUGGCCUGGACAGUGAAGGAUGAAGAAAAUUUGGCUGGGCAAAGGAAGGACAGGCGUUCCUCCUGAGAGGCACUGCAUCAAUAGAGACCUGAAGGGAUCAAGGAGCAGGGUUAUUCAAGGGGCCAUGAAGUGACUGGCAAAAAGUUCAAGAAGAGUAGAGAAAUAAAACUGUAUAAGUAGGAUGAGACCAAAGUCAAGCAACAAUGAAACCAGGUGGAAGAGGUAGUCAGGAAGAAAGAGAAAUAGAGUUCCACAGGCUUUGAAGCAAUGGUGACCCAGUGCUCAAGGAAGAUUAGUCUAGCAAUUAGUGUGUAGGCUGGUCAGAGCUAGAUGGAAAGCAAUAUGGAAAAUCGUCUAUUACCCACUCUUAGUAGAGAUAAUAUAAAAAAACGGAGAGAUGAUGAAGCAUCAUAAAGGAAAAAACUGAAAAGCCUAGGUGACUGGAUACAGGGGACAGAGAUGAGUUAAAAGUUCAUUCAAGUUUUUGAGCCCUCCUGACUGCAGGAACGUCUGCCCUGUUUGAAAGACAAUGUAUGGCAGCCCCGGUGGCCUAGUGGUUAAGUUAAGCAUGCUCCACGUCAGCAUCCCGGAUUUGGUUCCCAGGUGCAGACAUACACCCCUCUGUUAGAAGCUGUGCUGCGCUGGUGGCCUGUGCGCUAGAAAACAGAGGAAGAUUGGUAAGAUUGCCCUGAGCUAACAUCAGUGCCAAUCUUCCUCAGGAAAAAAAAGACUGUAUACACGGAUACUAUUUUGUUUGCUUUACUGUUCUGGGGGAUCAUUUCAAGUCAUUGCUCCAUGAACAGCUAUUCAUUCUGUGGUUCUGUAAGUGGGGUCUUCUUGAUUCUUCCCAUCUUGGUUUAACAUCAACCCCUGCUCUCCAGUUUUGCAAUAAAUAUUCAGCAUUGUGUUAUUUUCAUUGUUUUUUUAACCUGUGGAUCUCUGAAGCUUGGAAGUAGAAUUUUUUGUAGAAUCCAUCAAUCCUUAUUUGAAUCAGUACACUAUUUUUAUGAAUUUUAGCUACCAGAUCUUACUGGCAAGAUACAAUUCCAACUCAGCACACUAGAUGGCAGACAAUCACUACUUUCUCUCCAUCCCAUUCCAAAAAAAAAAAAAAAUCCCAGUAUGGACAAACCAAGCAGGGGGCUCACACGUUUCUGUUCAUUCUCUAACCUCAUAUAAGUACACACGAACUUUUGUGCCUAACAUCCAUCUGCCUUCCACUGAAAAAGUGAGGGAAGGAUUCUCAGACUAUUGAGACCUAACUACACCUACUUUGCCUUUUUUGCGUUUUUUUGAAAUUUUUUGUUUGAUUGACUAUUUUGUUUCACCCAGGAAGGAAAUGGUGGAGGGCACAGAAUGGAAGUGGUAAUGCUGACAUUAUGAAGUGAGACUAUCCUGAUUAUAACGCGUUUCUUCUUUAUUUUCGCAGGGCAAGGUUGG
ensembl:lncRNA